rnacentral:rRNA from 1 species
AACGCGAAGAACCUUACCUGGGUUUGACAUCCUCUGAAUAUUUUAGAGAUAGAAUAGGCUCGCAAGAGACAGAGAGACAGGUGCUGCAUGGCUGUCGUCAGCUCGUGUUGUGAAAUGUUGGGUUAAGUCCCGCAACGAGCGCAACCCCUGUCUUUGGUUGCCAACAUUUAAGGUGGGCACUCCAAAGAGACUGCCGUCGUUAAGACGGAGGAAGGUGGGGAUGACGUCAAGUCCUCAUGGCCCUUAUAUCCAGGGCGACACACGUGAUACAAUGGUAGGUACAGAGGGUAGCGAAGUAGUGAUACGGAGCCAAUCUCAAAAAGCCUAUCUCAGUUCGGAUUGGAGUCUGCAACUCGACUCCAUGAAGUUGGAAUUGCUAGUAAUCGCGGAUCAGCACGCCGCGGUGAAUACGUUCCCGGGCCUUGUACACACCGCUCGUC